CCUACGGGUGGCAGCAGUGGGGAAUAUUGGGCAAUGGAGGAAACUCUGACCCAGCAAUGCCGCGUGAAUGAAGAAGGUCUUCGGAUUGUAAAGUUCUUUAGUCAGGGAAGAAGUCAAUGACGGUACCUGAAGAAUAAGCUCCGGCUAACUACGUGCCAGCAGCCGCGGUAAUACGGAGGAUGCGAGCGUUAUCCGGAUUUAUUGGGUUUAAAGGGUGCGCAGGCGGAAGAUCAAGUCAGCGGUAAAAUUGAGAGGCUCAACCUCUUCGAGCCGUUGAAACUGGUUUUCUUGAGUGAGCGAGAAGUAUGCGGAAUGCGUGGUGUAGCGGUGAAAUGCAUAGAUAUCACGCAGAACUCCGAUUGCGAAGGCAGCAUACCGGCGCUCAACUGACGCUCAUGCACGAAAGUGUGGGUAUCGAACAGGAUUAGAUACUCGUGUAGUC
rnacentral:rRNA from 1 species